UCUACAUUACAGGCUCCUAACUGAGUCAUAGGAGCGUAAAAAGUAAAGGCUGGCUGUGAAGGAGCCGUGCUGAGCAGCAGCGUCCCAUCGCAGGUGCUGAGCUGCAUUGACUGAGCCACAAAGCAAGCGUAUUCAAAUGACUUUCAGGGAGCCGGGAAAACUGACCAAUCACGAGAUGAAGGUGGUAGUCUCUCGGGAAGGCACUAACCAAUCACCGAAGAGGCAAGACAGAUUGAGUACACUAUUGAUCAUACUGAUCAAAACACCGGGCCUUUGGAAGAGUGAAGGAUGAGGCCAGUCAACAAACAAGACAACAAAAGCAACAUCCUGUGCGAUCAUGUAAACAAGGACAAUUACAACAGGACAACUAAGAUUGAAACAGUAACACAAACAAUCACAAAACAUCAAGCAGCUAAAAUGACAAAGAAAAACUUCCAGUCUCCAAAAUAAAAGCAGAGUAAGUUUUAGGGACUGACAGUGAAAUCUGAGUUUUGAUCAAACCUUUGACUGAAGUGUAUUCAUUUGAUUUAAAGAUGCUAAAUUUAAACAUAUUUACAACGUAGCCUAGAAAUGUUUCAUCAGCGCUGUAGACAAUCACAACAAAUGGUGGCUUUGGCUUUGACUCUGGACCUGUUCUGACUUAGAUGUGCUUUCAGAUUAAUGUUGUAUCAUUAAAUUGAAUUAAACUGAAUAAACUGCUCAAUAAAAACAA